GACGAACGCUGGCGGCGUGCUUAACACAUGCAAGUCGAACGGAAAGGCCCUGCUUUUGUGGGGUGCUCGAGUGGCGAACGGGUGAGUAACACGUGAGUAACCUGCCCUUGACUUUGGGAUAACUUCAGGAAACUGGGGCUAAUACCGGAUAGGAGCUCCUGCUGCAUGGUGGGGGUUGGAAAGUUUCGGCGGUUGGGGAUGGACUCGCGGCUUAUCAGCUUGUUGGUGGGGUAGUGGCUUACCAAGGCUUUGACGGGUAGCCGGCCUGAGAGGGUGACCGGCCACAUUGGGACUGAGAUACGGCCCAGACUCCUACGGGCGGCAGCAGUGGGGAAUAUUGCACAAUGGGCGGAAGCCUGAUGCAGCAACGCCGCGUGCGGGAUGACGGCCUUCGGGUUGUAACCGCUUUCGCCUGUGACGAAGCGUGAGUGACGGUAAUGGGUAAAGAAGCACCGGCUAACUACGUG
rnacentral:rRNA from 1 species